GGGGUUGUGGCUCAGUGGUAGAGCGCUCACCUAGCACAUGAGAGGCCCUGGAUUGGAUCCUCAGCAUUCCUU
rfam:Ictidomys tridecemlineatus contig000139, whole genome shotgun sequence.